CUGCAGCAGGUUGAGCUGGCCAGCUCCAUUUCUUCAUGGAGGUAUGUGUGCAAUGGCUACAAAUAGCAGCCUGCCUGGUAGCAUAUUCAACCUGCUAUCUAUGUGGGUUUCCCUAAGGGAUCUUGGAGGCAAUU